rnacentral:rRNA from 1 species
UACGUAGGGAGCAAGCGUUGUUCGGAUUUACUGGGCGUAAAGGGCGCGUAGGCGGCAAAUUAAGUCAGCUGUGAAAUCUCCGAGCUUAACUCGGAACUGUCAGCUGAUACUGAUCUGCUAGAGUGCGGAAGGGGCAAUCGGAAUUCUUGGUGUAGCGGUGAAAUGCGUAGAUAUCAAGAGGAACACCUGAGGUGAAGACGGGUUGCUGGGCCGACACUGACGCUGAGUGCGCGAAAGCCAGGGGA